rnacentral:misc_RNA from 1 species
UCCGGUUUAACACCGGCAGUCUCUCUAGAGUCCCCAACUUAAUGAUGGUAACUAAAGACAAGGGUUGCGCUCGUUAUUGGACUUAACCAGACAUCUUACGACACGAGCUGACGACAGCCAUGCAGCACCUAUCACCGCGUCCCCGAAGGGAACCAUACAUCUCUGUAUGUAGCACGGGAUGUUAAGGGUAGGUAAGGUUCUGCGCGUUGCUUCGAAUUAAACCACAUACUCCACCGCUUGUGCGGGCCCCCGUCAAUUUCUUUGAGUUUUAGCCUUGCGACCGUACUUCCCAGGCGGGAUACUUAAUGCGUUAGCUUCAGUACUCAGAGGGUUAAUUCUCCAAACACUUAGUAUCCAUCGUUUACGGCGUGGACUAC